rnacentral:tRNA from 1 species
AAUAGGAUGCCUGAGAAAAAGGAUCAUUUUGAUAGAAUGGGUCAUGCGCAAUACGCUUCUAUUA